rnacentral:lncRNA from 1 species
GAAGGCUUUGGGUGCUGAGAUGUGCAGUUGUAACGUGUAGCAUGGAGACCAUUUUAGUGAUCUAGCUGGCUCUUCUUAAAUUAUGGGAGUCCUGGCCGUACAUGUAGGUGAGGACGCCACCUUUCCCACCUACGUGAGAAGGGAACUCCAGUACCAUUGUGGGAGGAAGAUUCACACAGACGGAAGUUAAUGAAUAAUGUGAAGAAAUGUCACACAUGUCCAGUGAGAAGAAAUGAUGUGUGCUACAGGACUUCAACUGAGGAAGGGAUGCCUGCGUGGUCAGAGGAGGCUCAUGGAAAAGCUAAACAGAACAACCUCUAAUUUUCCUGCACAGCCCUGCCCUUCAGAGGUUUUUUUUUUUUUUUUUUUUUUUUUUUUUUGACAAAGACUUGCUCUGUUGCCCAGCCUGGAGUGCAGUGGCAGGAUCUCAGUUUACUGCAAUCUCUGCCUCCCAGGUUCAAGCAAUUCUCAUGCCUCAGCCUCCUGAGUAGCUGGGACUACAAGUGUGCACCACCAUGCCUGCCUAAUUUUUGUAUUUUUAGUAGAGACAGGAUUUUGCCAUGUUGGCCAGGCUGGUCUCAAACUCCUGACCUCAAGUGAACUGCUUGCUUUGGCCUCCCAAAGUGCUAGGAUUACAGGCGUGAGCCACCAUGCCUGGCCUCUUCAGCGUUCUAAAGGCUGUUGUGCUGCUCCUCUCAGCCUUCUACUUUCCUUGAUGAUGAUCCCCUUUCCUUUUGCUCAAGUCACAGCCCUCCGGUACCUGCAGUGUGCUCGGUGUUCUCUGGGUGAGUUCCAGUUCAUCACUCUCUCUCUUACAAAGAUGCACUCAAAACUCAACAGGCUUCCAUCCCUGGGUGGUCUGACAGGACCUGGGCAGCAAAACUGCACUGCUGUCUGGGUCAUAUACUAAACUCUUCAGCGAUGCUAUCCAAGAUUGCAUUUGCGUUUUGACAACUUUAAAGGCUGCAGUUAUAAGUAGCAAGAAGAUUUAGAGCUCUUCAGGGUCUGCUAGAACAUUGCCCUGACUCUUUCCCAGAUGUCUACAGAGAUUUUUGGGCUCCCUUUCCUCAAGGUUUCCUCGCUCAGGCAGCUUGGAGCUGCAUAUCAACCGAAUAUCGCACGUGUCAGAGCCAGCUCUCUUCCUUCAUGGACUUGUGUAUGUCAGCCUGGGUUGUAGAACUAAAAUAUAUACCAGGAAUAGUCUACAGUGAUGAUAAUGAAAUCACUGGGAGCUUUUAAAGCUAUGCAAGCUGACCUGGAUGAUUCUGAUAGGCCUCUUAGAAUCUGGGCAUAUAUAGUUUGUACAAGCUCCCCAGGUAACUUACUAAGCUAUUGUCCCCACCUUGAGAUUCACUGCUCUGCAGCUUCUGUUUGUUGAAAUAGGAGCUUUCCUACCUAGGUACUAAAAAUCCACCUGCAGAUGGACCAGAUGUUGUUAUAAAUCCCCUGAAGCAUCUGAAUCUUUGCAAUGGCUCUAAAGCCUCGGCUCUUUCCAAGGACAAGUGGCAUUGCCAGUCCUCCAAUCUCUGUGAUUUAUAUUUGCUUCUCCCCUUUUAUUAGCCCCCUUCCUGGCAAAAAACGCCACCUUUUGCCAGAUGCCUGGAGCCUGGGUGGGCUGCCUGGCAAUGCAGGCCUUUCUGUCUCCCCCAUCAACCCCAUUCAGGUCCAUCCCAGGAGGGGAAUCUCUCACUUUUCAAAGAAUAAAUCUGUCAAAGAGGCAACAUUUCCAGAGCAGUAAAUCUUGGCUGUGUGUGGCAGCAUGGCUGUGUGCAUAUAGCUGAAAUCUGUGCCCUGUGUGUAUAUCUGUGUGUCUGAGAGAAGAGAGCCAUGCUGAUAGCAUUACAGGAGAGGGCCUUUUAAUUUCAAAAGAGUCAAGAUCACAAGAGGGAAGAACAUGCUCAGGGAAGCAAGUGGGGCACCAAACUGCUGGGAGAAAUGGGCUAGAGCUGAAGGAAGAGGCAUGCUGGGCAGAAAGUGUUCCCACAGUUUGGUUUGCUGCCCAGGACUAGCAGAGAGAAGGAGAUGAUGCAUAAGAGUACAAUUCCACAGUAGCCACAGACCGUCAGAAGGAGGCCCCCCCGCUUCCUUGGUAAGGUCUCUCUGAUGCUUUUUGGGGUGGUGGAAGAGACUCCUGGCCUCCUCUCACCAUUCAGCAACUGGGUUUUGUUUUCUUAAACACAACAUUAUAUUUCCUCUAUCCUGUCCAGAAGAAAUGGCCAGAAGAGAGCCCUGGAGAAGAAUCUCAAUCGAGUUUAACUCUCCAAAGAGUUUCCUGAAAAGUUGUGAAUGAAAAUAAAACCCUUUCAACCAACAAACAGUGAAUUCACUAACCAACCCCAAACAGAAACCAGAUUCGUGGAGAUGGUAAAAUCUCUGGGCUGAAAUCUAGCUUAUUGGCUCUAGUUCUGGGAGGUGUGAAUGGGAUUGGGAGAUGGGGAGUGGCAGAGGUUGGUUGGAGGAUGAAGCUAAUUAUGACAGAGGGUCUCUCAUAGGACCACAGCAUUGCUAAUACGUGAGGACCACCCUUGAUCUUUCAUGAUUGGGGAUAGAGGAACAGAGUGUAUAGCUAAAAUCCACGAAGUCCUUCAUCUUUAUUGUAGCCAUUUUCCCUCUAAAUUACUUAAGGAGAAAUAAAAAAUCAAUAUGGUGAAAUAAUCUCCAUAGAAAUCAUGGGUCUGGGUGUUUAGUCAGGUCUGGGGAGAUAUCAAGGCAGUAUUAAUGUACAUAGUCUGAAAAAGAGUCUGUCUUCUUUUAAUGAUGAGUGGAAUAUUACUGCUAGAUUGAGGGUUAGGGGGAGGUGGGUGGAAAGAAGGACAGAGGGCUCACAGGAGGGAAGAAUAAGGAUUCAUUGUGGGGUUGAUUACGAUGGAGAAAAUAUGGUUCAGAGAUAGAAUGAAAGCACAAAAGGGAAGCAGGGCAUGCUGCCGGAGCUGGGAAGAGGCAGACAGGCCCUAACUGGGUGUGUCCAGUGACAGAGAAUCCCAUCUAGGUCAGCCAGGUAGGCCACUGCCUGUGCCAAGGAUUUUAACUUGGAGGCAAAGGUGAGUAGAAUUCAGGGUCUGAAGCAAAAGUCCUCACUUCUCCAGGGACAGAAGAAGCGGGCACAGGGAGAAGUGGUGAAUGAGGUGGACUGUGACUCCCCAAAACUACAACUUGGAGGAGAACUCGUGGGCUGGAAAAGAGGUGACACAGGAAACUCCUGAAAGAGUUUGUUUAAUGCUUUAAACCUGUACUAUGUUGGUUAAGUCAUGUGAUAUCAUAGGUAUUAUGACUUCGUCUCACUUGAACAGAAUUUUUGCCCUAGAUUCUGAGCAUGUCAUGCUGAGAAUGCACAUAGAGAAAGCUAUGAGAGAUCUCACUUCAAGCACAUUAUCUAUGAAAGUGCAUCAACACUCAAACUUCCUUAGCACCUCUAUCCCCUUUUGAUCUUUGGGUGAUGGUAAAAUGGUGUCCAAGGUAAGCCUCAUCUUUUAUUUCAACUAAAGCAUUUUCAAAGCUGGCAUGACAUUGCUAGAUUUGGUGGUAUGAGCCUCAUCUCGCAUUACUUCUUUUCUUUUCACAUAGAAAAAGUGCUAGUGAACAUAAAUAUAGUCAACACCCAGUAUGCUCACUUAUUGAAACACCGUGUAAGUGCCAGGCACUGCAUUAGGCUAGUGUGGACAGAGUAGAGAUGCGUGAGACAAACAUAUAAAGACAGCAAACAAUGCCAGGCAGGCCCCAAAAUGGCCGAAGUUGGCUGGGUUAAUCCUAAAUUAAACAAAACUUUAUUAACGACAUCAUAAACAGGAAAGUUACUACUUAGCUCCGUGCAAUUAUGGCCCCAUGAGAAGGCAGGACCAAUUAUUCAAGAGAAACUGGAAUAGUGUCCAGUUGAAAAUCACCUCAGGGUUCAUUCACUCAUUUAGCAAGUAGUUACCAAACGCUUACCAUAUGCCAGUCCUUGGGGUACAGUGGUCAACAAGACACAUUAGGUCCCUGUCUUCCUGGAACUCAGUAUUUCCAGAUGGGGAUAGUGCUGUGAAGGAAAUGAAACAGGGUGAGGCAAGCGGGCAUGUGUAGGGUGGCCUCUCUGGAGGGGUGUGUGACAUGCUUGAUGAGAAGAAGCCUAUUGUAUGCAGAUCUGGAGGAAACAACAUUUUAGGCAGGGGGAAAAGAAACGUUGGUGGGGUGGGUGGUGGACAAGAAAGCAGGGUGGGAAAUUCAAGUGGGUGUUGGAGUUCAAAAAGACAUCUGUCAUAUGUGACAACAUGGACGAACCUGGAGGACACUACGGUAAGUGAAAUAAGCCAAGCACAGGAAGACAAAUACCACCUGAUCUAACUUAUAUGUGGAAUCUAAAAAAGUUGAACUCACAGAAGUAAAGAGUAGAAAGGUGGUUACUAGAGGCUUGGGGGAUGGGAUGGGAGAGUUGGUCAAAGGAUACACAUUUUCAGUUAGGAGGAAUAAGCUUUGAUGAUUCAUUACACAGGUGGUGACUAUCGUAAAUAAUAAUGCAUUCUAUAUCUCAAAAUUUAAAUGUCUUGGCCACAAAAAAAUGGUAUGCGAGGAGGUGGAUUUGUUAAUUAGCCUGCUUUACUCAUUCCACAUUACAAACAUAUAUCAUAACAUCAUAUGGUUCCCCAUAAUUAUUAGUGCUGAAUUAAAAGUUAAAAUUUGGAAAAAAGUCACCUUCUGUCCACCAUUCCUAUCAUGAUUUUAAGGUAUUUCUGGUCUUCUUCAAGUGUCUCCUGGAGGCUAAAGGUGUACAUGGUAUUUUCCCAUUGCAAUGCAGCAGCGCAGCAGAAGGGGGAGCUGACACAAGCCUUCCCAGGUCUGAACCAACUUCUCUCAAGCGUGUGAAGCCUUUCUUUAUGUAGCCAGUCUCCACCCAGGGCUCAGUAGGCUUAGGGAAAUGGGAGGCGGAAGGGCACCUCACAGUGUACUCAACCCUUCUGAAUUGGAUUUUGUGAGCUGUGUAUGUCAGGUUCCGAUGUGAGGCCUGGCGCUGUGGAGGUUCCAAUGGCCGCCAUGUUGUCUCAGAGGGACACACCACAGGCUUCUGGAACUCUGGCUCCAUUUUGUGGGUGCAAGUUUCUGGCUUCCGUUUUAAAGAGGUAAGUUUUCCUCUGAUGCAUAUUAUUUAUAUGGAUUCCAGAUCACCACCCAGUUUGAAAGCAUAUGCAGUUGGUUGGCGUGUGGGAAAAGCAGCUUGGGAGAGGUCACUCAGUGCAGCCAAAGGGUGUAAAAAAUCACCUCACACAGCACAGGUCCCUAUCCAGGGCCACAAAUCAAGCCCAGGCUCUCCCCUGCCUGGGGGCCCAGGUGGGUUCUCCAGGCCUGUCAUCCUCAAUCAGGCUGUCUCUAUCAGAGAGCUAGGUCAAACUCAGUUUCUUUAAAAAAAAUGAUUAUAGAAACCAUAUGUGUGUGCAAAGACAUGUUGCUUUUCCCCACCUCAUGGCUGGUAAAAUUUGUUGCCCUCCCACCCCCCUUUUUUUGGAGCUUUUCCGAAUUGGAAACAGUGUGAUGCUCAGUGCAGGGAGAAGAUUACUUUUCAUGCAGUUUAAGUCCAGCAAAAAGGGGGAUUCAUUGCACGAAUGAAUCAUGAAUUUUUACAACAGUCCCUUUUAAACUGAUGGUAUUUAGAGACCUAUUGGUCACUGUAAUGAGCCAGGCAGUUUCAGAAUAUAAAACAGCCCUAGAGGUUUCAUGGCCCAAACAAAGAGGAAUGUCUUAACGUUUUUACCAAGUUCAUUUUCUUUCCCAUUGGUAACAUUGUAAAUCUGAGCUUGCGAGGCCUCAGGUUCAAAACCAGCCGUCUUAACUUUUGUUGAUUGAAACCUAAAUAACAGAGAGAUUCCCUUUUCCCCUAACUUCUUGUCUGGGCUUUUGGGAGGCAAUAUCUAUGUCCAUACUCUUAUUCUUGCUGUUACGAUCCUUAAAAGCAUGAUGUGAAAGAUCUUACCUGCUUCAGCAUCUAGGACUGAGGGGGAAGUGUAGACUUCCUACUUCUCACUGGCUGUUUCAUAAACAAGCAACAUGAGCUUCACUUUAUAUUAAAGCUUUUUCUUAACGGUCCAAAAGGUCAGACUUAGAAUUCUAUAAGCUAGAAUGGCAUUUUAGAACCUUGUUUUUAACAGAGAUCAGCCACUAGUAAAAUAAAACACAUGCUAUACACCAGUGGUUCUCAACGUGUGGUCCCCUGAGCACCAGCAUCAGAGGCAUCUGAGAACUUGUUAGCAGAACAAAUUCUCAGGCCCCACCCAAACCUACUGAAUCAGUGACUCUGGGGGUUGCACUCAGCAAUCUGGUUUCAACAAGUUCUCUGGGUGAUACUGAUGUAUGCAAAAGUUUGAGAACCACUGCUAUAUACCAGUAACAUUCAAUGUUAAGUAAUAUGUUAAACUUUAUUUUUAACAUAUUAAUUGAAUAUAUAGAAAAAAAUCACAUUUUUUCCCAUAUGUUAGUGUACUACUCCAAUCCCUAGCUUUGAUGGUAGGCCAGAUUUCUUCCUUGACAUGGUAAAAAACAAAACAAAACCCCCCCCAAAAAAACCUGGACAGAGGAGAUGGGGGAAGCACUAUACUCUGCAGUUAAAUAGUAUCUCUACAGACGUGUUCCCUACCCUUUCUCCUGGCUUUGAGGGAUCUCUUUUGGCUGAGGGUGGUGGGGCAGGAGAUUUGUCUAACUUCCUCUUCAUCAUUUUCUCUCCAUGAAUACCUCAACUCUUCCCUUAAAAUACAGCAAGAGAACCUAUCAGCGUUGUCAAUUCUAAGAAAGUGAGUGCCAAGAGCAGGUAGGUAUGUUUAAGGCAUAAAGUUUCUUACUGAUAAUUCCAUUCUUUUUAAAUUUAAAAUAAAAAAAUAGAUUUGUAUCAAGAAAUGAAUUAGUAUAAUUUGAAUCUUCACUAAUAGUAUAUAUUAUUUUUGAAAUGCAGAAAAUUUGUUGUUGAAAUUAAACAGCCUCUGACAAUUGAACAGUUAAUGAUUGCAUCAUAUUAAUCAUGAGGGGUGAGGACAGAAUUAUCAGGGUUUUGCCAGGGGCACUGGAUUCUGAACCUUUUUAAAUUAAAAAAACAAAGUACUACACAUGUAUAUAAUUAAUAUUGAAACAUCUGUAAUACAAAGCUGCAUAUAUUUGGUAGACAUCAUAUGUUUGAAAUCCAUCAUUAAUUUCUUCUCUUCUGGUAGCAGUUCUCCACAUUUCCUAUAGGAAAAUGCCCCUCAUCCAUUCCAAACCAUGCAGUUUCAUUUGGGUGGCUCCAUCCUUGGCUCCAGGGCUAUACCUGAUUGGCUUAAGUAAACAGGCAGCUUGCCAUCUCCCAGCCAUAGUGACUGGUUAAGGGAUGGUGAUGUAAUCCAUUUAGAGCCAAUGGGAAUCAGGGUGACAUUUGCUGGAAAUUCUGGGGAAAUGACCUUGUCUCUCUUCCUCUGAAUUGAGUCGUAGAAGAUGUAAGCUUGGUGCCCCUGUGGUCCUGCCAUAGUGAGGCAAGCCCAGUGAGGAAGGGUCUGGAAAAACAGAGCCAGAAAUGUAGAAAAACUGGGCCCACAAUGCUUAGAUCAAACAUGGCAGAAGCCAGCCAUAUUCUUGGAUUUUGAGAUCCAUGAGCCAACACAUCCCUUUUUCCUGUUUUAGCCAGUUUUUUGUGUGUUGGUUUGUUUUGUUUUUGGUCACUGGCAACUCAAGGAAUCCUCAAAGUCAGAGAUCUUAUUGCCAAAAUCAUGAUGAAUAAGAUUUAGCCUAUACUUAGAUGAUUCAGAAGGCCCUUUGGGAACUUGGAAGUGUCAUUGCUUGUAUUAACAAUAUUUUCUUAAUAAGCAACUUCAGCAAAGUCUCAGGAUACAAAAUCAAUGUGCAAAAAUCACAAGCAUUCUUAUACACCAGUAACAGAGAGCCAAAUCAUGAGUGAACUCCCAUUCACAAUUGCUUCAAAAAGAAUAAAAUACCUAGGAGUCCAACUUACAAGGGAUGUGAAGGACCUCUUCAAGGAGAACUACAAACCACUGCUCAGCGAAAUAAAAGAGGAUACAAACAAAUGGAAGAACAUUCCAUGUUCAUGGAUAGGAAGAAUCAAUAUUGUGAAAAUGGCCAUACUGCCCAAGGUAAUUUAUAGAUUCAAUGCCAU